rnacentral:rRNA from 1 species
AAACCUUUCAACAACGGAUCUCUUGGUUCUGGCAUCGAUGAAGAACGCAGCGAAAUGCGAUAAGUAAUGUGAAUUGCAGAAUUCAGUGAAUCAUCGAAUCUUUGAACGCACAUUGCGCCCCUCGGUAUUCCGGGGGCAUGCCUGUUCGAGCGUCAUUA